rnacentral:rRNA from 1 species
CUACGGGAGGCAGCAGUCGAGGAAAUUUUACAAUGCUCGCAAGAGUGAUAAAAUAAACCAGAGUGUUUCUCCUAGAGAAACUUUUGCCUAAUGUAAAAAGUUAGGCGAAUAAGGACUGGGCAAGACCGGUGCCAGCCGCCGCGGUAAUACCGGCGGUCCAAGUCGUAUCCACAUUUAUUGGGUCUAAAACAUUCGUAGCUUGUUUAACAAGUUUCUUGUGAAAUCUGACAUCUCAGUGUCAGGCGUGCAAGAAAUACUGUUUUACUAGAGACCGGAAGAUGCAAAGAGUAUGAUUAAGGUAGCGGUAAAAUGUGUUAAUCUUAAUCAGACUAACAAUGGCGAAGGCACUUUGCAAGUACGGAUCUGACAGUGAGGAAUGAAGGCCAGGGGCGCAAAAGGGAUUAGAUACCCGAGUAGUC